AGAUAAUGCGGCAUUCGUUCGCUCGUUCGACGGCAGAUCCGCUCGUCGACGAUGAAGACGCCGAGCUGUUCUGUAUGUAAGCCUGUUUUUUAAUUUUUUCGAUUAAUCGGCGGUAUUUUACGGGCCUCCUGAUUGCAUAUGUUGUUUAUUCGUCGAUUAGAAUUCCCAUCCUGCACGUUUCAAGAGGAACAUCUCCGGAAUGUUCUAUAAGAAAAUUCCGUUAAUUGUUUCGGACGAUCAUUUCUAAUCGACGGUGAUUUUCAGACACGAUGAACUCGGAAGGCUGUGCUCAUGUCACUGUCAAUGUCCCGCUCUUUUCUUACUGUGAAGUUCCCGGUCACUCUGGAUCUGAGACGUCCGGUUUUAUCUGCUGAAUUACUCGGAUUUUCUCAAAGUUGUGGACUCGUAUGAGAAUAAACCAAGGAAUAAAAUCGGAUGAGAAUAGUGCAUCCACUAAGGUAGAUGAUGAGACUUGACGAAUCGCCUUUUGAUCCCAGACAUAUUUCUCGCCGUUUUCAUUCUAGAAAAAAAAUAAUAAUUAAUGUAAGGAUGGUUGCCUUGUCAUGACCUGAAUCUCGAAUUAUAUGGAGAGGUCCGUCUUCAUGGAACUCGUUCUGUUGUUCAUCUCACUGUUUCGGAUCAUAUGCCCAAAUUCUUCUUAAGAAAGCCUACGCACGGCAACAACCUCGUUUUGCCAAUAUGUUCGUAGAAGUUGCAAAAUGUUUAAUUAUCACAUCAGAAAACUCUUCUUAGUUUGUUUUCCUCAAUAAAACUUAAUGUGGGGUGAACACAAAGCAAGAAGGAACUCACAGGCUUCGCCCCUUUAGAGUGUUAAAAAAAGAUAGGCAAUGCCGGGUUCAAUAUCAAUCAGUUCUUUCUCUACCCUUCAACAUAUGAAUCAGAGUCGAUACUAACUUGGAAUCAAGUACCACGAGAGCUCCACAACAUGCAUUGCAUCCAGAAUAAACAUACUGAGAUUACAAGAUGGUGGCAGGAAAUCUGCCAGAGUUUUCUUCUAAACUGAGAGCACUUGUUGAGAACAUCAGUACGCAAUGGGAAUGGACCACACUCUGUAUUAUUUUCAUCUCAUUUACGAUGUUUUUAUAUUAUUUUUCACUUCCACAAGGUAAAAUAGCAAUCGAUGAGGAAGAGGCUUCAUAACCGGCUGCCCCAGUAUCAUACUUCAAUGCAAGUACAUUCCUAGUGACAGACCCUUCUGUCUAAGCUUUCCCCGGAGGGAGAGAAUACUUGGAUACCCACGGGCAAAGUGACUAGAACCCUCCACCACAAUAGAAUAGAUGGUUUGGAUACAUGUGCGCUGUGAUCCCUUAGGAACAAAACUAAACAAUACCUUGCACCGGCCUGGAAAAAAAUCUGGGAAGCUGAGCACUCGCUCACACUUGACCCCUUUAUUAUGUUGUGUUCUUGGCCUCGCAAGUGCAGUGUUGGUGUUCUUUUUUCAUUUUCUGCCCAAGAAGGUCUUCAUCAGAGGCCUUGUUAAAGAGUAAUCCAAAAGGAAAUAAAACAUUAAUUGAAGCCGGCCGUGAAAACCAAGACAAGCAAAAGAAACUGUGGAAGCAUGGUUGUCGCCUUCACCUAUACGAACUAUUAUAGAGAGGAAUUACAUAUUUUGAGUGCUGUGAUUCACUAUUUAUUGAUCGAAAGUAGACAAGUUUUCUUGGUGCUACACAUAUAUUUCAGGUGGAUAUCCAAGAGGCAGCGCAAUUCUAUGUACUUGAGAAACAAGAACUGGGUUUUGUUUGCUGGAACAAGGUUUGACAUCCACUGUGUAAUCUAACUCAAUACGCACCUGUAGCUGGCUCUGGAGCGUCUUGAUGUACUGCACAGCCAAGUCUAACAUGUCUGCUGUAUUUGUCUGCUGCAGAAACAUAUUUUUAUUAAAUAAACCCGAAACAAAUUUACGAAAGUAUCAAUAAUUCAAUUAAAAUCAGAUAAAAUGAAAAGGUAAGGAUUAUGAAAUGCACUUAUGUUUCCUUGUAUACCUUGUCCACGUUUGGCACAAGAUCUUCGAGCUUCCUCAGUUUCUCGCUUAUUCUAGUUCUCCUCUCCUUCAAGAAAAACGAAAAGCAUGAGUGAAAAAAUAGCCCAGGUACAUUGUUGCAUUUCAAGAUGUGAAGGCUGCAAACAACCUUACAAAAGAAGAAAAGUUUCCAAAGCAGGCAUUUUUCAUCCAUACUUUCAUGCUAAAAUAAAGAAUAAUUUCCUUUUAUGGCACGUGCAGGUUAUAUGCGAGUAAGCUGAUCGCUUGCUAAGAUCACUGACCCUCUCGGCUAUGCUUCGUGGGUGUGUCGCGCAUCCCCGCUUGGCCCGGAUCUUGCAGGGGACGGAAUCUUGGUGUAUUCGGAAGAGCUUCUCCAUUUCGAGUGAUGCCUUCGGCAGGCCGAACUGGAAGAAACAAAUCCAGAGGGGAGAGAGGUAAGACAGCCGAAUCGCCCACAAGCCGCACUAGAACUGGUGGUUCAUUCCGAGCACCCAUCCUGGUGCAACUUGAAGAGAAUCUUUGAUGGGUAAGAUGGAUGCACAGCACUCGCUGACUUUUCCUGAUCACAGGACGAGCGUUGACUUCAAACCCAGAAGAUGAG
rnacentral:lncRNA from 1 species